rnacentral:rRNA from 1 species
UACAGAGGGUGCGAGCGUUAAUCGGAAUUACUGGGCGUAAAGGGUGCGUAGGUGGUUAUUUAAGUCAGAUGUGAAACCCCUGGGCUUAACCUAGGAACAGCAUUUGAAACUGGAUAGCUAGAGUGCGGAAGAGAGAAGUGGAAUUUCCGGUGUAGCGGUGAAAUGCGUAGAUAUCGGAAGGAACAUCAGUGGCGAAGGCGACUUCUUGGUCCGUUACUGACACUGAGGCACGACAGCGUGGGGAGCAAACAGG